rnacentral:rRNA from 1 species
UACAGAGGUCCCAAGCGUUGUUCGGAAUUAUUGGGCGUAAAGGGUGCGUAGGCGGUUUGGUAAGUCUGAUGUGAAAUCUAUGGGCUCAACUCAUAGUCUGCAUCGGAAACUGCCGGGCUUGAGUAUGGGAGAGGUGAGUGGAAUUCCUGGUGUAGCGGUGAAAUGCGUAGAUAUCGGGAGGAACACCAGUGGCGAAGGCGACUUUCUGGCCUGUUCUUGACGCUGAGGCGCGAAAGCUAGGGUAGCAAACGGG